GUGUCAGCCGCCGCGGUAAGACGAACCGUGCGAACGUUGUUCGGAAUCACUGGGCAUAAAGGGCGCGUAGGCGGACCUUCAAGUCAGGGGUGAAAUCCUCCAGCUCAACUGGAGAACUGCCUUUGAUACUGAGGGUCUCGAGUAAGGUAGGGGUGUGCGGAACUGAUGGUGGAGCGGUGAAAUGUGUUGAUAUCAUCAGGAACUCCGGUGGCGAAAGCGGCACACUGGACCUUUACUGACGCUGAGGCGCGAAAGCCAGGGGAGCAAACGGGAUUAGAUACCCGCGUAGUCC
rnacentral:rRNA from 1 species